rnacentral:lncRNA from 1 species
CCUUGCCUUCCUGGGGAUAACAUAGCGUUGCUGUUUAACGCUUGAUGAGAGCCGUUCUCAGUGCCCUACGUGUCCACUUAUUGAAUGGCCAGCCCAGGCCUAGGUGGCGGACGGUGUCGUUCUCCUCAUUUUGCAGAGGAGAGGACCGGAGGCAGCAGGAGAGCCGGGACUCGGGCCCAGGCAGACCGAGCGGCAGAGUAUACGACACAUACGUGGGAAACACCCGCUGCAACCCGUUGAGGUUGACACCGUUAUUGAUCUCGUCGGACCGAGGAGGUCAAGUAACUUCAUCCAGAUCACGUAGCCAAGAAGCAGCAGAGGCCACUUUUGAACUCAGCAGAGGGGUGAGGGGAGCCAGCACCAGACUGCCUGGCAAAUGCCUCGUCUUGCAGUAAUCUCUACGCCCAACGUGGGGCUCGAAUUCGUGACCCCAGGAUCAAGAGUCACAUGCUUUACUGACCGAGCCAGCCAGGCCCCCCGAGUCUGGUAUCCUUGAACGGCUGUUUUUACCAGCUUAGGGAUUUAUGGGGAGUUGCAAACAGAGGACAAAAUGCAAAAGCAAAUAUUAAAAGCCUUUGCGGAGAGGGCUUGAAGGACAGAUGGCAUGAAUACGUAUUGGCGGCUGGCACGAGGACAUGGGAAGGCUGAGAGAAGAUGGCGAAGAAGUACAGAGAAAGGUACAUGAAGAUUUGCACACGUGCACAGGUCGCCGAUGAAGGCAGACUUAACCUAGAAAUUAAUUAGGCCAUACUCGGUGGCCUGAAAGAAUUCGUUUCGGCUUGGGUCUAAUCGGACUGAGGGGGUUGGAUUUCUCAAACGCGCCAGUUGUGGUAGAACAGCUGUUAUCUUACAUCUGCAAAUCUCCACAGGACAAAACCCAUGCCCUGGAUUUGGCUAUUUUUUAGUCACAGAGCUGGAGCUUCUGCAAGAGAAGGCCAUCUUGGGUCUUGGGACUGGAAAGAGCACUGAGCCGUGACACUCUGGUGCCUCAACGGCAGCUUGCAAAAGGGCAUUUUGCAGGGAGGGGAUGUUUGAAGAGACAAGGAGAAAAGUCAAAGAAGAAAAGAGAGGAGGGAAUCGGCAGUAACACUGCCUGUGGCAGAAGGAUAAGCAAUUGAAUCGGUGCAGGAAAACAGGGAAGAAGCAACUGGGGGUCUGGCAGAGGAGGCUGAGUUUAUCGCCGUGUAAGAAUCGUGAACAGUAAGUAUAGCAGCCACCUUACACACAUUUAAUCCUCACGGCGAUUCGAUGAGGC